CUGGUUGCUGUCGCUGGUCGCUG
rnacentral:siRNA from 1 species